UUGACCCGGAGACCACUGUUACGAAGAGAAUAGAAUUUAGCGAAACAAAAAGUUGGAAAUAAGCAGAGGUACAUAUUAUUGUGCCGUUGAAUGUAAAUUUUGUUUUGGAUUACAAGGUCUAGAAACAAAAGAGCUAUAAAUAGAUUUCUAUCGCUGUUUCUUACAGACUUCAACUAGAGCUUCAAGGUUAACUUUUUGGUAAUGUCCUUUGCUAUAAAUAUAUGAACGUGGUGCCAAUCGACCUACUUCUUCUAUUGUAUUGUAACAGUGUAAGAGUGAGGAUCUGGAUCAUCGUACACUAUACUUAUACUUAUUUCAAUAUAUUUUUCUAUUAUUAGUGAGUUACAAGCGAUCAGUAAAGACAGUCAGAUGCGAACCUGUUUUAUCGCGAACCCAUCUAUUUGAAUUAUGUCGAGAGGAAAAAUGAAUUAUCUUUGUGAGGAAAAUAUAGAUAGUGACGAUGACAAUUUUGAUUUUCGUAUUUAUAAUGAUGUAGCUGUUGACUUGGAUAGCAGUUAUAGUGAGAGCAGUGAUAGUGAUAUUCUUGUUGCUGGAAGAAGACGAAAAAUAAGAAAACUUUCAUCGAGUGAGCAAAGUGCAGAUGAUGGAGAACCAUAGGAGGAAAAUCUAACCAAGAGUAUUUGCAACGAGAUCACGGUGGAUGCUAAGGACGA
rnacentral:lncRNA from 11 species